GGCGAACGGGUGAGUAACACGUGAGUAACCUGCCCUUGACUCUGGGAUAAGCGUUGGAAACGACGUCUAAUACCGGAUACGAACCGCGAAGGCAUCUUCAGUGGUUGGAAAGAAUUUUGGUCAAGGAUGGACUCGCGGCCUAUCAGGUAGUUGGUGAGGUAAUGGCUCACCAAGCCUACGACGGGUAGCCGGCCUGAGAGGGUGACCGGCCACACUGGGACUGAGACACGGCCCAGACUCCUACGGGAGGCAGCAGUGGGGAAUAUUGCACAAUGGGCGAAAGCCUGAUGCAGCAACGCCGCGUGAGGGACGACGGCCUUCGGGUUGUAAACCUCUUUUAGCAGGGAAGAAGCGAAAGUGACGGUACCUGCAGAAAAAGCACCGGCUAACUACGUGCCAGCAGCCGCGGUAAUACGUAGGGUGCAAGCGUUGUCCGGAAUUAUUGGGCGUAAAGAGCUCGUAGGCGGUUUGUCGCGUCUGCUGUGAAAACUGGAGGCUCAACCUCCAGCCUGCAGUGGGUACGGGCAGACUAGAGUGCGGUAGGGGAGAUUGGAAUUCCUGGUGUAGCGGUGGAAUGCGCAGAUAUCAGGAGGAACACCAAUGGCGAAGGCAGAUCUCUGGGCCGUAACUGACGCUGAGGAGCGAAAGGGUGGGGAGCAAACAGGCUUAGAUACCCUGGUAGUCCACCCCGUAAACGUUGGGAACUAGAUGUGGGGACCAUUCCACGGUCUCCGUGUCGCAGCUAACGCAUUAAGUUCCCCGCCUGGGGAGUACGGCCGCAAGGCUAAAACUCAAAGGAAUUGACGGGGGCCCGCACAAGCGGCGGAGCAUGCGGAUUAAUUCGAUGCAACGCGAAGAACCUUACCAAGGCUUGACAUAUACGAGAACGCACGAGAGAUCGUGAACUCUUUGGACACUCGUAUACAGGUGGUGCAUGGUUGUCGUCAGCUCGUGUCGUGAGAUGUUGGGUUAAGUCCCGCAACGAGCGCAACCCUCGUUCUAUGUUGCCAGCACGUAAUGGUGGGAACUCAUGGGAUACUGCCGGGGUCAACUCGGAGGAAGGUGGGGACGACGUCAAAUCAUCAUGCCCCUUAUGUCUUGGGCUUCACGCAUGCUACAAUGGCCAGUACAAAGGGCUGCGAUACCGUAAGGUGGAGCGAAUCCCAAAAAGCUGGUCCCAGUUCGGAUUGAGGUCUGCAACUCGACCUCAUGAAGUCGGAGUCGCUAGUAAUCGCAGAUCAGCAACGCUGCGGUGAAUACGUUCCCGGGCCUUGUACACACCGCCCGUCAAGUCAUGAAAGUCGGUAACACCCGACG
rnacentral:rRNA from 1 species